AUGCCACAUGUCCCGCGCCAACCACGCACCGUCCGGCCACCUGCUCCACCGGUGGCUACACCCGCUCCACCGGUGGCUACACUCACACCCCUGUGUUCCCCGCAACAACCUGAGCCUACUGCCAUGGCAGCCACACCAUCGCCCCCCACACCCGAGCCCAACACACCCGACGUCGAUCCAUCUGCCUUCCCCGACGUCUCCCCCCUGCCCUCCUCACCAGCACCACCUGCAGCUCGCGGUCGCGAGUGCCCAGUGCCCACCCAUACCAUGCGUACUCGUGCUCAGGCUGGUAAGUUCUUCCCAAACCCCAAAUACCACCAGAACCACACCACUUCAACGUCUAACGAGAUCUCACCCAUCCCAAAGACUGUGCGUGCCGCUUUGCGCGAUCCUUGUUGGUUGACUGCGAUGCAGGUGGAGUACAGGGCACUGAUGGCGAACAAUACCCGGCGGCUCGUACCCCGGCCGCGCGGCGCCAACAUCGUCACCGGCAAGUGGCUGUUUCGACACAAGCUCAAGGCCGACGGCACGCUGGUGCGUUACAAGGCGCGCUGGGUUGUUCGCGGCUUCUCCCAGCGCCCCGGCGUCGACUUCGACGAAACCUUCUGGCCGGUCGUCAAGGCGGCCACGAUCCGUGUCGUCCACACCAUCGCGGCGUCGCGGGGCUGGCCAGUCCACCAGAUGGACGUCAACAAUGCUUUCCUCCACGGCCAUCUGACGGAGCAGGUGUACUGUCAGCAGCCGGCGGGCUUUGUUGAUGCCGACCACCCCGACCACAUCUGCCUCCUCGACAAAUCAUUGUACGGGUUGAAGCAAGCGCCGCGCGCCUGGUUCACGCGGUUCGCCGCGUUCGCCUGCAGCAUCGGAUUUGCCGUCUCGCGCGCAGAUCCAUCUCUGUUCGUGCUCCAAAGCGACGCCGGUGGCGCCUACUUACUGCUGUACGUCGACGACAUAAUCCUUGCCGCGUCGUCCACCGCUCUACUACGACGACUGCAAGGUCUGCUCUCCACCGAGUUCUCGAUGAAAGACCUCGGGCCACUUCACUACUUCCUCGGCAUCGCUGUGACGCGCACGGACGACGGGUUCUUCUUGUCGCAACGCAAGUAUGCUGAAGAACUCCUCGAGCGUGCCAACAUGCAGACCUGCAAGCCGGCCUCGACGCCCGUAGAAACGCGCUCCAAACUGUCGGCUGCGGACAGCGCACCCGUCCCCGACGCCUCAGAGUACCGGAGCAUUGUCGGCGCCCUUCAGUACAUGACCAUGACACGACCGGACAUCGCCUACGCGGUGCAGCAGUGCUGCCUCGUCAUGCACGAUCCCCGCGCUCCGCACCUUGCGCUGGCGAAGCGAAUCCUCCGAUAUCUUCGAGGCACCACCACCCACGGACUACAUCUUCGUCGCGUCGCCUCCCUCGACCUCGUCGCCUACUCCGACGCGGACUGGGCGGGCUGCCCGGACACACGCCGCUCCACUUCCGGCUACGCGGUGUACCUCGGCGACGCCCUGGUCUCUUGGUCGUCCAAACGCCAAGCGACCGUGUCUCGCUCCAGCGCAGAAGCCGAGUACCGCGCCGUCGCCAACGCCGUCGCUGAAAGCUGUUGGAUUCGACAACUUCUCGACGAGCUUGCUACACCGCUUCGAAAAGCCAGUGUAGUCUUCUGCGACAACAUCUCCUCCGUCUACAUGGCUGCCAACCCCGUCCACCACCGUCGCACAAAACACAUCGAGUUGGACAUCCACUUCGUCCGGGAGAAGGUUGCACUCGGUGAACUGCGCGUUCUCCAUGUGCCCACGAGUCAACAGUUCGCCGACGUUCUCACGAAAGGGCUCCCCACACCGGCGUUCGAGGAAUUCCGGUCCAGCUUGUACAUCCGACCACCGGACGCUCAACCUGUGGCGGGGUGUUAA
rnacentral:rRNA from 1 species